GAGAAGAGACUGUCACUUUCUAGUAAAUAGUAAGUAUUGAACUUCAUGUAAUAUUUCUAAAUGAAUAAAAAGGAAACAAGUAUAGAAUCCCGAUAAUCUUUGAAGAAAAGCACUUAAAAACACUUCUAACGUUUCCAAAAGCAGUACUCAACAGUGAAUGAACUGUAAAGUAACAUGGCAUAUUUUAACUGUCUAUAAGGCCUUGCUAUGUAUUAAAAAUACAUAAAUUACCGAGCAUGUGGUAGAGGACACAAUAGAAAUGUUAAUACGUGGAAUCCUUCAGCAUGAAAAUGUUCUUAUAAAAUUAAUGAAUAUGCACAUAAUUUCUGUAUGAGAGCUUUAUAAGCACAAGGAAAACAUUAUACACACCGUAGGAUAAAAGAAGAGAAGAUAUGAAAACAGAACAUCAGGAAAGUGCCACAAGAGAUUAAUAUAUUAUCAGGCAGUAGGUAACGAUCCUUUACUUUGACACGGUCAUCAUCGUGAUCAUUGCUUUCUGGGUGAAGGCAGCCUUCAAAAUGAUCAGUCAAUAUUGUUUUUUUUUUCUUUUUCAAAUUUUAACAUUACCAUUUUACACCAAAUGUCACUCAACAGAGAGCAUCAGUAGUGACAAUAAAAGUACAGAUAUAAAGAAUAAAACUUGAAAUGCAUCAUUUUUGGUUCCUUUUCAAGGAACAAGGCACUUAUUAAUCUACGUUUCUAAAAGCAUCACGAUGCUUUUGGGAAACACCUCGUAAGCUUAAAGUUUGUAAGAUGGAUUUUAUAAUCAUCUCAGCCUUAAGAUGCUUUUGGGCCCUGCGUAUGAGUCCAUGAGUCUUUUUAUUUAUUUUUUUGCUUUCUCAGUAGUGGUGAAUCGCACUUUGACAAGGGUUCCUGGCCCCUCUUAUCCUCCCUUUUCCCCUGCAGAUAAUGAGACUCUGCACACUGUGUUUCAUCCCCUGUGGAAUGAGAGCAAUGUAAGACCAGCAAGAAGAACUCAUCCUGAGGCCCAGUCAACAGCCCCACCCCCACCCCCACCCCGAGCCACCAACACACCCUGACAGCAAAGAGGAGAAGAAGAAUGAGAGUCCUGGAGAGAGAUUUCACCCACUCAGGUUUUCAUGCUGUGUGUCCCUACAGGCCAGGCUUCUCCCCUCUCAGCUUGUUUUGGCUUCCUCUCAGCUGACUGUCUGCCUGGGAAAAUGUCCCAGUGUAUUCAUAGAGGGAAGAACUGGAUGAUAAGAGGAAGGCGGAGAACUCCACCAGUCGGAGUUUAGAUGUACCGAUGGAGCGGCCCUGCCACGCUGGUGCCGUGGGAGCCGGAGGUGCUGUGGGCUCGUAAC